rnacentral:rRNA from 1 species
UACAUGGGGUGCAAACGUUGCUCGGAAUUAUUGGGCGUAAAGCGCGCGUAGGCGGUUACUCAAGUCGGAUGUGAAAGCCCUCGGCUUAACUGAGGAAGUGCACCCGAAACUGAGUAGCUAGAGUACUAAAGAGGGUCGCGGAAUUCCCGGUGUAGAGGUGAAAUUCGUAGAUAUCGGGAGGAACACCGGUGGCGAAGGCGGCAUCCUGGACCGGCAUUGACGCUGAGGCGCGAAAGCUAGGGGAGCAAACGGG